CCUACGGGAGGCAGCAGUGGGGGAUAUUGCACAAUGGGGGAAACCCUGAUGCAGCGACGCCGCGUGGGUGAAGAAGCGCCUCGGCGCGUAAAGCCCUGUCAGCAGGGAAGAAAAUGACGGUACCUGAAGCAGAAGCCCCGGCUAACUACGUGCCAGCAGCCGCGGUAAUACGUAGGGGGCAAGCGUGAUCCGGAUUUACUGGGUGUAAAGGGGGUGCAGACGGCGUUCGAAGCCAGGAGUGAAAGCCCGGGGCUCAACCCCGGGACUGCUCUUGGAACUGCGUGGCUAGAGUGCAGGAGGGGCAGGCGGAAGUCCUGGUGUAGCGGUGAAAUGCGUAGAUAUCAGGAGGAACACCGGUGGCGAAGGCGGCCUGCUGGACUGCAACUGACGUUGAGGCCCGAAAGCGUGGGGAGCAAACAGGAUUAGAUACCGGGUAGCC
rnacentral:rRNA from 1 species